rnacentral:rRNA from 1 species
UACGAAGGGGGCUAGCGUUGUUCGGAAUUACUGGGCGUAAAGCGCGCGCAGGCGGUCUUCCAAGUCAGUGGUGAAAGCCCGGAGCUCAACUCCGGAACUGCCAUUGAAACUGUGAGACUUGAGGACGAGAGAGGUGAGUGGAAUUCCUAGUGUAGAGGUGAAAUUCGUAGAUAUUAGGAAGAACACCGGUGGCGAAGGCGGCCCACUGGUCCGGUACUGACGCUGAGGUGCGAAAGCGUGGGGAGCAAACAGG